rnacentral:rRNA from 1 species
CCUACGGGAGGCAGCAGUGAGGAAUAUUGGUCAAUGGACGAGAGUCUGAACCAGCCAAGUAGCGUGAAGGAUGACUGCCCUAUGGGUUGUAAACUUCUUUUAUAUGGGAAUAAAAUGUUCCACGUGUGGGAUUUUGUAUGUACCAUAUGAAUAAGGAUCGGCUAACUCCGUGCCAGCAGCCGCGGUAAUACGGAGGAUCCGAGCGUUAUCCGGAUUUAUUGGGUUUAAAGGGAGCGUAGGUGGAUUGUUAAGUCAGUUGUGAAAGUUUGCGGCUCAACCGUAAAAUUGCAGUUGAGACUGGCAGUCGUGAGUACAGUAGAGGUGGGCGGAAUUCGUGGUGUAGCGGUGAAAUGCUUAGAUAUCACGAAGAACUCCGAUUGCGAAGGCAGCUCACUGGACUGCAACUGACACUGAGGCUCGAAAGUGUGGGUAUCAAACAGGAUUAGAUACCCCAGUAGUC